ensembl:lncRNA
UGGAAUUCCAGGGUCACAGCCUGAACCAAUGGGUGGGCUAUGUGAGUGUGUGAGUGCCUGGAACGGAGGGUGGUGGUCUGGAGCCACCCCUUCUGUCUCUGCAAUACUUCCUGUGCAGUCUGAGUCUGCGCGGGUCCCUCUCUUUGCCCCCGCCCUUCUCUCCGGUGGCGCGACGGUACAAAUGGGGGAGGGACACAUUCCUCAGCUUGUCUCUCUCUGCGCACUGUUACCGGGAGGGAAUAAAGCAAUAUACAAAACUAUAUAGAGUAGCCCUGCAUGUUUGCUGACGAUACAAACUGGGAGGAGUUGCUGACACACCAGAAGGUUGUGCUGCUUUUCAGCAAGACCUGAACAGGCUGGAGGCCACAAAGACGAUGAGAGGCCUGGAUCAUCUCUCUUUUGAGUAAAGGCUGAGAGAUCUGCAACUGUUUAGCCUGGAGAACAGGAGACUGAGGGGAGGAUCUCAUAACUGUUUAUAAAUAUCUAAUGGGGGGGAAUCUAGUGGAUUUUCAACAGUGCCCAGGAACAGAACAACGGGCAAUGGC